UCGAAACCUGCCAAAGCAGACGACCCGCGAACACGUUAAAAAGUACCUAAGCGGAUUGGUGAUGGGUGCGAGCCCUGAUCCGUCCGCUUGUCGGGUCGUGGGAGUUGGUUGCAUCCCUUGUGGUUGUGGUCGCUUCGCGUUCCCGCACAACAUAAAAAUCCGGGCGCGAUUGGCGUCAAGGAAAUCUUAGCGGAAACAAAGCGUUGUGCCUUCACCGGUACAACGCCAAGAAUCCCAAUACUCAAACGACUCUCGGCAACGGAUAUCUCGGCUCUUGCAUCGAUGAAGAACGUAGCGAAAUGCGAUACUUGGUGUGAAUUGCAGAAUCCCGUGAACCAUCGAGUUUUUGAACGCAAGUUGCGCCCGAGACCUUUAGGUUGAGGGCACGUCUGCCUGGGCGUCACACACAGCGUCGCUCCCCACCAACCUAGUUGGCAGAGAGCGGAGAUUGGCCCCCCGAGUCCUCUGGGCACGGUCGGCACAAAUAUUGGUCCCCGGCAGCGAGUGUCGCGGUCAGCGGUGGUUGUAUCUCUUCCUCCAAAGACAAAAUGACGCGUACCUCGUUGCAUGUUGGAUCGAAACGACCCUCGAAAGCCGUUAGCGGCAUUCACCCU
rnacentral:rRNA from 1 species